UCCUGGGGGCCGGGGUGGGGCGGGGACGGUGGGGAGCCUGGUCCAGAGAAGAUGGGGGACCCCAAAGCGGGAGGCCCGGCGUGGCUUCUUUCAGAAUUCCAGCCGAGUGGGAGGAGAGAUUUCUGAGGGCUCGAGGAGAGUGAUGCCCGCCUGUACCCCAGCCAGCACCUUAUCAGUAUUGCUGUAAGAAGUGGGACUCAAGAGCCAAGAUUUGUAAACAUUCCACCAAGUACCUCUAACAGGAUGGACCCCCAGAGCCCUGUGGGGGUAGCCACGAGCUCAGAAUGUCCCUGCACUCUGUUCACUAUUGCCUGGUUAAUUUUGAUAUAAACCUGAUAUGCUUAUGGUGCCUGAAUAUUUAUUAAAAUUAAACCUCUCAAAGCA